rnacentral:rRNA from 1 species
GACGAACGCUGGCGGCGUGCUUAACACAUGCAAGUCGAACGGAAAGGCCCUGCUUUUGUGGGGUGCUCGAGUGGCGAACGGGUGAGUAACACGUGAGUAACCUGCCCUUGACUUUGGGAUAACUUCAGGAAACUGGGGCUAAUACCGGAUAGGAGCUCCUGCUGCAUGGUGGGGGUUGGAAAGUUUCGGCGGUUGGGGAUGGACUCGCGGCUUAUCAGCUUGUUGGUGGGGUAGUGGCUUACCAAGGCUUUGACGGGUAGCCGGCCUGAGAGGGUGACCGGCCACAUUGGGACUGAGAUACGGCCCAGCCUCCUACGGGAGGCAGCAGUGGGGAAUAUUGACCAAUGGGCGGAAGCCUGAUGCAGCAACGCCGCGGGCGGGAUGACGGCCUUCGGGUUGUAAACCGCUUUCGCCUGUGACGAAGCGUGAGUGACGGUAAUGGGUAAAGAAGCACCGGCUAACUACGUG